UACGGGGGGGGCAAGCGUUGCUCGGAAUUACUGGGCGUAAAGGGCUCGUAGGCGGCCAACUAAGUCAGACGUGAAAUCCCUCAGCUUAACUGAGGAACUGCGUCUGAUACUGGAUGGCUUGAGUUUGGGAGAGGGAUGCGGAAUUCCAGGUGUAGCGGUGAAAUGCGUAGAUAUCUGGAGGAACACCGGUGGCGAAGGCGGCAUCCUGGACCAACACUGACACUGAGGAGCGAAAGCCAGGGGAGCAAACGGG
rnacentral:rRNA from 1 species